rnacentral:rRNA from 1 species
CCUACGGGUGACAGCAGUGAGGAAUAUUGGUCAAUGGCCGGAAGGCUGAACCAGCCAUGCCGCGUGAAGGUCAGUGCCCUAUGGGCGUUAAACUUCUUUUGUGCGGGAGCAAUAAUGGUCACGUGUGGCCAGACGAGAGUACCGUACGAAUAAGCAUCGGCUAACUCCGUGCCAGCAGCCGCGGUAAUACGGGGAAGGCAAGCGUUAUCCGGAGUUAUUGGGGUUAAAGGGGGCGUAGGCUGUGAGGUAAGGCAGCGGGGAAAUGCCCCGGGGCAAAGGGGUGAAGUGCCAUUGAUACUGCCUUGCUGGAGUGCGCAUGCCGUGUGAGGAAUGUGUGGUGUAGCGGUGAAAUGCAUAGAUAUCACACAGAACACCGAUUGCGAAGGCAUCUCACGAACCCGCGAUUGACGCUGAUGCACGAAAGCGUGGGUAUCAAACAGGAUUAGAUACCCCUGUAGUC